GCGAGAUUGUGGAGCUUUGGCGGGAUUUAGGUUCCCGUUCCUAACGGAGUAGGGGUUCGAGUCCCCUCUCUCGCACCA
rnacentral:tRNA from 1 species